rnacentral:lncRNA from 1 species
AGGGAAGGGGCGGCAGCGAGCUCGCCAGGCGGCCAGGAACCCGGGUGGGGCCGGGACCGAGGCGGUGGCUGGCCAGCGGAGCUCAGGCCGGGCGCGGCGCGCCGGGUGAAGGCGGCAAGGCGGCAAGGCCCCGGCCGAGGCCGGCGGAGCCGCGCAGCUGCGGCCGGCUGACGUGAGCGGCGUGCGGGUCCCGGCCGGCAGCGCGCUGGCGGCCAUGGCGGUGGCGCUGGCGGGCCGCGGGGCGCGCGGCGGCAGGGGCCGGCCCCCGGGCGGGCGGGCGGAGGGGGCGGGGCCGGGGCGCCGGGCGGCCCGCGCGACAGCGGCGGCGAAGACGACGGAGACGGGGGGCGCUGGGGCUGAUGACAGCGGCCGGGCCCGGGGCGGCGCCGUCCCCGCGGCGGUGCGACAGCGACCCGGCCUCCCCCGGAGCGCAGUCCCCAAAGGUGAGCGGAGCGCGCUGCCCAACGGGCAGCGGCCCAGGCCGGGCUCGGGAGAGAAGAGGAGACGGGGCGGCGGGUCCUGGAGCAACGAGUGCGGCGGACAGUGGGCGCGGACGUCGGGGAGACCUGCGCGGCGGGGUGGGAAGUUGUCCGGGAAUAGCUGGGACCGGGGGACUCGGGAAGAGUGCUUGAGACGAAGCGCCCCCAGCCUGGGAAAGUCGGAAAAGUUGGCGGCCUUGGGGAUCUCAGUCGGGGAGACGCUGAGCGGGACGUGCGCUCGGGGUCCCGAGUUGGCAGAACGUGGAUUCACACCCACGUUCCUGGCCGCAGGCAGCUGCAGGGCCGGACUGAGAACUUCUGGCUUCGGCGGCAGCAGCAUGCACUGGCCAAGGCUGGCUUCAAACCCUGUAUCUACCUCCCGAGUGUUGGGAUUACAGAUGUGUACCACCAUGCUGGGUAUAUUCAGUGCUGGAGAUUGAGCCCGCAGCUUCAUGACUGCCAGAAAAACAGUAAUAGAAAGCAAGAGAUCUGAAGUUCUGUGUUCAUCCAUGAGGAUUCUCACACUCACGUCGCCGAGGGCUCGCUCCAGACAGGAAGCUAGUUUCAUCACGCCGAGGGAGACGGCAGCAGGCUGCGAGCUUUGCAAGGCAUCAAGUAUCUCAAGAAACAACUAUUCAGAGGAAGACACACACUCGAGCUCAGAUUCAGUGAAAGAUGUUUCUCAAAGCAACAAUAAUGUUUAUUCAAUUACUAUUUCCGCACUCAAGCCUCUUAAGAUUUGAAGGUUUAAAACUUUCGGAAUAAAAAGAGUUUAUAUUGGAAAUACUAUAAUAAAGGAAAUUAUCUAACACCUAA